CCUACGGGUGGCAGCAGUGAGGAAUAUUGGUCAAUGGGCUUACGCCUGAACCAGCCAAGUCGCGUGAGGGAAGACUGCCCUAUGGGUUGUAAACCUCUUUUGUCAGGGAGCAACGCCGGCUACGUGUAGCCGGACUGAGAGUACCUGAAGAAAAAGCAUCGGCUAACCCCGUGCCAGCACCCGCGGUAAUACGGGGGAUGCGAGCUUUAUCCGGAUUUAUUGGGUUUAAAGGGUGCGUAGGCGGAAUGCAAAGUCAGCGGGAAAAUCGCGGGGCUCAACCUCGCUCCGCAGUUGAAACUGGCGUUCUUGAGUGGGCGAGAAGUAUGCGGAAUGCGUGGUGUAGCGGUGAAAUGCAUAGAUAUCACGCAGAACUCCGAUUGCGAAGGCAGCAUACCGGCGCCCAACUGACGCUGAAGCACGAAAGCGUGGGUAUCGAACAGGAUUAGAUACCCUUGUAGUC
rnacentral:rRNA from 1 species